rnacentral:rRNA from 1 species
UGGGGAAUUUUGCACAAUGGGGGAAACCCUGAUGCAGCGACGCCGCGUGAUUUAGAAGGCCUUCGGGUUGUAAAAAUCUUUUCUAUGGGAAGAAAAUGACAGUACCAUAGGAAUAAGGACCGGCUAAUUACGUGCCAGCAGCCGCGGUAAUACGUAAGGUCCGAGCGUUGUCCGGAAUCAUUGGGCGUAAAGGGUACGUAGGCGGGUAAGCAAGUUAGAAGUGAAAUCCUAUAGCUCAACUAUAGUAAGCUUUUAUAACUGCUCAUCUUGAGGUAUGGAAGGGAAGGUGGAAUUCCUAGUGUAGCGGUGAAAUGAGCAGAUAUUAGGAGGAAUACCGGUGGCGAAGGCGACUUUCUGGCCAUAACCUGACGCUGAGGUACGAAAGCGUGGGUAGCAAACAGG